GGGCGGGUCACUCACCCUCAUCCGGCUCAGCGGGCUCGGCUCGUCGGGCCGCGGGGACAGGGAGGACCAGAGGACGACCAGCCCCAGGAAGCUGCCCACCACCAGCAAACUGCGAGUAUGGUGGGAGAAUUCUGUAGAUGCCAUCAUUUCAAAAUUUCCACAAAACAUCAGAAGUAAUAUAAAGGCAAAAAGGUACACAAGUGUAGACCCAUAUCUAGUUCAUCAUUAUACCUCUGUGUCUCCUGUGUAGAAAGGGUUCCAUAAAUAUUCCUGGUGGAAUACUGAAUGGAUAAUUGGACUGAGACUAUAAAACUGGAAAUGAAAUUUAAAAGAAGGAUUGGGGCUAUAUCAACUGCUGUUCCUGCUUACCUGGGGGUUCUUCCAAGGACAAAACUUGAGUGGUAGGUGCAGUGACAGGGGUGAGGGGAGGAGAAAAGGGGGAGGGAGAAGGAGAGAAGAGCCUAAACUGGUAAGAUCUUGAAAUAUUGUAAAUCAAUU